rnacentral:rRNA from 1 species
UACAGAGACUGCAAGCGUUAUUCGGAUUCACUGGGCGUAAAGGGUGCGCAGGCGGCCAAGUGUGUGAGGCGUGAAAGCCCGGGGCUUAACCCCGGAAUUGCACCUCAAACUACAUGGCUAGAGCAUUGGAGAGGGUAGCGGAAUUCACGGUGUAGCAGUGAAAUGCGUAGAUAUCGUGAGGAACACCAGAGGCGAAAGGCGGCUACCUGGACAAUUGCUGACGCUCAGGCACGAAAGCGUGGGGAGCAAAAGGG